rnacentral:RNase_P_RNA from 1 species
GGCAGAGAGAGCCCAGUUCCCGUGCCCGAGACGGGCAUGAGGAAAGUCCCCCCACCGUCCGAACGGGUGACCGGGCGCAAGCCCGGAGUCGGAGACGGCUGGCGCUGGAACAGAAACGAGACCGCUCGACUUGACCGAUGAUGCGCGCGCGACGGCUCCGCCGUCGCCGGCGCGGACGGGAGACUCGUCCGCGUGCGAACCGACCCGUAAGGGAAGGGAGUUAACCCGCAGAGGGAGUGAGAUGGCGUCGCCAUCUCUGACGGUCGAGAACGGAUGGAACGGCGAAUCCUCACCGGUGCAAGUCCGCGCCGCGAAGGUAGUUCGGACGGCGCGUCGGGUUCGCCCGUCGCGCCCUCGGGGCUCGCCCCGAGAAGGACGCGGACGCUGAGCCGAAUGCUGGGACGAACAGAAGGGGGCUUACUCCUCUCAGCC